rnacentral:rRNA from 1 species
GGCGACCGGCGCACGGGUGAGUAACGCGUAUGCAACCUGCCCGAUACCGGGGUAUAGCCCAUGGAAACGUGGAUUAACACCCCAUAGUACUUUUAUCCUGCCUGGGAUGUGAGUUAAAUGUUCAAGGUAUCGGAUGGGCAUGCGUCCUAUUAGUUAGUUGGCGGGGUAACAGCCCACCAAGACGAUGAUAGGUAGGGGUUCUGAGAGGAAGGUCCCCCACAUUGGAACUGAGACACGGUCCAA